UAUUUGCCUAUUGAAAACAGUCAAAGGCUUGCUCUUCUGAAUGGGGCCGGGGGGGUGGGGUGGGGGGUGUUGCACCUAGGAGUGAAAAGUUGUUGCUGACUAUUCGUGGCUGCUUUUUAAGAUCAGAUAUCCGCGUGUUUCCUCUCGUGUUGCCGGUUCCUUCUGUUUGUUUGACAGCGAAGGCUGUACUCCUGUUUUCUCCACGAAGCAUUGUGCACCUGGGUGUGGAGACUGGCGGAGGGAGAAAGCGAUUAGAGCAGUGAGCCUCCGCUGGUUGGGUGGACCCCUGUGAGCGGGUGUCGGCCCUGAGCCCUGCCUGCCUGCCUCGGCCUCCGGGUGCUUGGUCAGGUUUGGGGACUAGAAAGAGGGGCAGUGAGUUCUUUUUAUUUGGCUGUUGGGCAGGACUCGGUGAGCACCAGUUAGAAGCGGGAUCCCUGCUCGGGCUGACGUCGGGGUGAUGAUGCUGUUCCGGGGCAUCCUGGUGCAGAGCAGCUGCCUUCUGGAGAAGCGGCGAGGAGGAGCGACCUGUCGCUCUCUGACCUGGGCCCUUGCUUACCACUCAACGGCCAGACCCAGCACACCAGGGAAGGGUUUCUUCUGAGGCAUCCUUCUGUGUGCAUGUUUUGUUUAUCGUGCCGAGGAAGAAAUGGCCAGGAGAUUAACUUCUGAUACAAUUUUAUGUGUUUGAUUUGGGGAAUUCUGAAUGAGUUGGACUCAAAGAUGCAUCUUUGAACCCUGCCUCUUGGAGUGUAUAAUUUACUUAAGCCAGCCUCCCAUAAAUCUAAAAAGAACAAGCAACAUGAAAGAAGGCUAACUGCAGUGGAAACUGCUAUGCUCUGAGAAGGACUUUUGGAGGUUUCAACGAUUCUGACCCUUGUUUUGUUUCUUCUCGAUGUACUGCUGGUGAAGGAAAUGUGGAGCUGGGGGCUUGCACGGGAAUGGAGUGUUUUGGCACCAAUCUUCCAGUAUCACGGUAUAGAGUUAUUUUGGCAGUUUGUCGUGAGCUUUUCAUUCCUCUGAAAUGAUGGGAUCCCUCUUAGUUUGAUUCCUUCUGGUAACACCCCGUGCACUUGGUAUUAGCCUCGAAGAUGCUUGGAAGUACUUGUUUCCGUGAUUAUAUCUCAAUUAGCGUUCUCUGGCAACACUUUUCAUUUAGCAGGACUGUUUUCAGUUGCCCAAACUGGGCGCUCAGCAUUUCUUUUUAUCUAAUCUUUUUAGAAUUCUAAAAGCAGCCUUCAAGUUGUAUUCUAAAUCCAUUAAACCAGAGUAAGAACGGGGGCUACCUGGCAUGAUACAGUGUUUGGAUUUACACAGAUACUGUCAAUCGUCUGUCUGAAAUUUCAAGUAUUUUCACUUGGCUACAAAAUUUAUGGAAAACGUAGGAUAAAUAACCUUUUUUUUUUCUUUUUAUAAAAUUAGAGGAGUCUUUAAAUGUCAGUAAUUACCUAGAAGGUGCGGACUCUUUUUUGUUAGUUUGCAAGAAACUUCUCAAUGGCUAGUCUUUCCCUCAGUUUCCAUUUUUAUUGAGAAAUUCACACACUGAAGCACGAUUAUUAUAACAGACGUGACUAGGAACUGAUAAAUUUUAAUCAUGUUGAAGUUUCUUUCGUUGCAAUUUUUGCACUAAAAUGACCCCUACUGGUUGUAUCUGUUAAUGAAAACUGUUUUUGAAAACUUAUUUAAUUGCCUACACUGAGAAAUCCUAUUGCAUGUUAUAGAUAUAUUAUCAUUACUAAUCUACCGGCUUUCGAGGACAUAAAUUAAAUACCAGUUACAUUGUUCCGCUUGCCAAAUUGCAGUAGUUUUUAUUUGUGUUACUCUCCAUUCUGGCUUUGUGGUGAAAAAAAAAAAUCAUGUUUUUAAACUGUGGUUCACAUAAUGAGUUAGAUAAAUCAGAAGCAAAAGUGGACCCCUUCCAACCUGUGGCUCACUGUCUUAGGUUUAAAAGCACGCCAGCCCAUAGUAGGCUCUCAAUAAAUGUGUAUUGAGCAAAUGGAUGAACAGUCUUCUCCAUAGAAAGAAUAGUGAAGAAAAAAUAUUUUCUGAAAGAUGAAAUAAUGUGAAGAGUUGUGCCCUGUGAGUCACGUGACAUACAUGUACACUUGGUCUUUUCAGCGUUGUUUAGAUUGUUAUCAACCAAAUCGUUCUUUUUAAAAAAAAAAAUACAUUUUUGGUUUAAGUGCAUUUUAAAAAUCGAGAGCCAUAGAGCCAAGUACCUAAAGUUUUUUCCUGCUCUCUCGCAGUCUAAAAAGUGCUUUUUGGCCCCCAGGAGGGCACAAGUCUCUUUAUUGUUUCCACUCAUUAGGUGAGUCCCUGUGGCCAUUUCUGACUUCCCAAGCAGCCUGUCCCUUGGCUGGGCUGCCUGCCGCCAGGUAAAUCACCUAGAAGUCGGAGAAACAAGUUUGAAUUCUGAACUCCUGAGGAAGAAGACUGGAUGGGAGAUCAAAGACAGAGUUUUGAAAAAUUACCAAAGCGGGAUUUUCUAGGAAGAAGGUUUUGAUUGUACCAUGAGGAUUCUAUUUUGGGAUGGGGAAGUGGGGCACAGGAGUCAAAUAUUACCUUGUGUUUGCGGAGCCAAGGAAGGGAGAAGUGGUCGUGUCUACAGGACUCUUUGCCAAGGGCUGUCGGCGGAAGGGCUUGGAGGAAAAGAUCAAGUGUUCUCACAUAGUUCUGUUUAUUGCGAGGUGGUGGAGAGGGCAAAACACAGUGAUCGGGACGUUAUUGACAUCUUUAGAUGCUGGCAAUCUUUAAGCCAUGGUGAGUGUUGGCCCAGCCUGGAUUCAGGGUAGAAUUUAUGCCUCUCUUUUGUGAAUGGGCUGGCCUGCUGCCUCCACUCUUUCUCCGUUUCCCUCCUUCACUUCAUUAAUUACGAUGACUGUGAGGUAGGUAGGUGACAGCUACCACAAGGGGAGAAGCUUGAGCAAAGACAGGCCGAAACUUGCCCAAAUUCACAUGCUCCUUUCUGCCUCUGACACUAGGAGAGAGUUGAGUAAUUGCUGUUCUUCCUAAUACUGCAGGCGGCAGCCAAAUUCCCAGCAUUCUUUUACCUUUGCGGCUGUUUUCACUUGCCAGGGAGUUUCCUUCAGGAGCAGGCUGGAUUUAAAGAAACAUAGCAGUCCUUGCACGUGAGGGUUGGGUGGGGGUGGCCGGGGUACUGGCCCAUGUGGCCCUUGGGCGCCUCACACCGGGAGGAUGAGCUGAGUAGUCUCUGCAAAGGGACGUGCUGCACCCCGUGCCAGCCCCCCUUGUUACCUCUGUGUGCUGCGAGCCCCGGGAGCAGGAAGCCCUGCGUGUCCGUGAGACAGCAAGUCUACCCUGACUGUAUUUCAAGAACAGGCCAGCUGUGAAGCUCAGGAAGUUGUCUCUUGGGGUCUAGAAACCCCACCCAUCCUUUGCAUAUUGUCCAGGUGGGUGGACCCGUGCGUGGCUCUGAAACAUGAUAUAACGUGAAUUAUUCCAAAGAAUGGGACGCCUAGUGUACACCAGCAAUCAGCUUGCUUUGCCUUGUGGAUAUUACAUUUUUGCCAAGAGCAGCCUUCCAGAAUGAGGUGCUAGUUAAUUCCAGUCGGGCAUUUAUUCGUUAAUAAGUCUGCUGAAUGCUAAAUACUCCAUUUGGGAGUAUGCGACUGGAGAAAACUCAGCAGCUAAUUAUUAUGUAGAUCUCUUCUGUGAUUCUCACUUUCAGUUCAAUUACCUAAGCCACCAAUCCUUAGCAAUGUGAACUUAUUUAACUUUUAGUUUUCUGUGAUAUUUUGCUUUUUGCUCCGAAAGUUUUUUUUUUUUUAACUGCUAUGAGAUUACUAAUAACUGGAUAGACAUUUUAUGUUGUUUAACAGAAAACCUUUCUGGGUUGUGGAGUACUGUGGCUUGCUCUGUUUUUUGUGUUUUCUUUCUUUCUUUUUUUCUUUCUUUCCUUUUCUUUUCUUUUCUUUCUUUCUUUCUUGAUAUCCGAAGUUAAAUCCUGUUCUGGAUCUUAUCCUAUCUGUCCUUCCAGGGUAGAUUUCUGGAUAGCUAAUUAAUGGUGGUGUCUGAAAUAGCCAUUGAGGGGUGGCUGGUGUUCAUUUACUAAUCGGAGCUUUUGCUGAAAAACUAGGUUCUAUUCUACUCUUCUUUGGUAUAUCAAUAGGUCUUUAUUUGGUUUCCUUCCUGCUUGGUUGGUGCAUAUUAGCUUGAGAACUUAAGAACUUUUGAGCUGGGGUGGGGGGGGCAGUAAUGAUGGUCUGAAUGCCUAGGGCCUUCUCUCUAGAACACUUCUCUCUUGGAAGUGGCCAGGGUGUUCAGUGUGUGUUUGCUGCCACCAGAGUCCGUGCUAGAAGGUCCAUUUGGUACUUCUCAUGCCCAUGACUUUGUGCUGUGCUUUGGCCCUCCUUCCCCCGUGAAUCCCUGCCAUGACCCAAGGCAGGCGUGCCCUAAGAUGAUGGUCUCUUGCUGUUGGGUGAUAGAGUAUUGAAUUUGAGGACCGCUGUCAGAAUUCCUCCUCAUCUGCUAUAAGAAGAACAAAUGGUCCCCAAGGGGUCCAGAUAGAUGGUGCAGGAAGGAGCACCACCACUCAUCGCUGAUGAGGUAUCUGAGCCAUACUCACGAUGAAGAUCACAGCUCUAACGGAAAUAGGGACAGUGAUCCGAACAGUAAGAGUAUUUGACCCCGGACCUGGAGAUUACAAUUUGGAAAAGAUGGUUUUAAAAAAGUGAUCAUGUCCACAAAGGCGACAAGAACAUGAAGCUGAAGUCCUUUGUCAGUGGUUUGUCUUGGUGCAUACCAGAAUUUUUUUCUUUCAACAUUAAGGUUCUCCCUUGUUACCCAACUUUAAAAAAAUAAAUUGAUUUCAA